AGUUACCUGUCUAGUUCCUGAAGACAUUUAAGUUUGAGAACCUGGAGUCAAGCCCAGGGCACGGAAGGGAGCAGCAGCAGAUAACCACGGGAAGGUACCUUGAGGUCUGAACACAAAGGGCCUUGAACACUGACCGGGUUAAAAAAUAGGGGCUUCAUGUCGGCAAUAGCUCUGUAACUGCAGCCCCUCUAACCACCAGCAGUGUGGCAAGAAGGGCAUGCAUACACACACACUCACACACCAUACUCACAGACACACCACACACACACAGACACCCCCACACACACGCACAGGCACACACACACACAGACACACACACACCGACACCACACACACACCACAGACACACACACAGACACCACACACACACACAGACACCACACACACACGCAGACACCACACACAGGCACAUACACACACAGACUCACACACACACAGAUACCACACACACACACAGACACCACACACACACACAGGCAACACACACACACACACACACAGGCAACACACACACACACAUAGAUGCCACACAUACAGACACACACAGACACACAGACACCAUACACACUCACAUACACAGACACCACACACACACACACAGAGACACCACACAACAGAUACACACACAGAGACACAUACAGGUGCCACACACACACACAGAUGCCACACGCACAGACACACACACAGACACCACACGCACACACACACAGACAUGCACAGAUGCAGACACACACAGACACCACACACACCACACACACACAGACACCACACAUACACAUAGAUGCCACACAUACAGACACACACACACACACACACACACACACAGGGGCUGAGAUGGUCUAAACUGGUGUCAGCUGGAUCCUGAGUCUCAGGAGAAAUCUGGCACAUGUCGUCACAACCCCAGCCUCCCUCUCACAUCCCCGCCGCUCCCAAGCCCAGCCCUCAGUGGGACCAGCUGUGGCCACAUCAGCUCCCCCUCAGCAGGCUCUCUCUCUCUCUUUUUUUUUUUCCUCUCUCUCUCCUUUGCACAGAAGGGAGUCCCAGAGCCAGUUCCCUUGCCCGGAGAUGUUCCCAGCCCCAGGAGCUCCCAACCCCUUUGCAGGCUGGCUGGCCAGAGAGAGAAUUUCGGACAGGAUUUAGGCCUGGAAUUUCCCUCCAAAUGGGCGGUGUCGAUCAGGGUAAAAUGAAUACGUGGACAUUUACUACGGAGACAAAGUUGGAAAGAACCUGCUAGGCAGAGGGAACAGCACAGGAUUUCCAGGGUUGCAGCCCAGCCUGGCAUAUUAAUGGCAGGAGGCCAGGUCUAGAGAUGAUCAUGAUGAAGAUGAUGGUGAUUCAUGAUGAGGAGGAGGAAAUUUCCAUUAAAAGAUCCCGGUAGCCCUUUAUAGCUUACAAAGUCCUCUGACUUCCAUGUCCCAGAACAUCAAAAUGUUAUGUUCCUAUUCUGCAAAUGAAGGUCUGAGGCCUGGAGAGGUGAUAGAACCAGAGCAAGACCCAAGCACAAAGGACCUUCCCCUAGGUACACAGGUGGGCAGCCGCUGCUGUCCCCAGCAAGCCCGAGUGAUGACUGUGUGUUCACUGGCUAGCUAUGUGAUCGUGGACGGACAUUGCCCGUCUCUGUGCCUCAGUUUCCUCUUUUAUAAAAUGAGAAAAAUACUUCAUGUGGUUGCUGAAAGGAUGAUAUGACUGAAAACAAGUAAAGAGCUUGGAGCAGAACCUGGCACAUAGUAUGUGCUCAAUAUAUAUGAGCUCUUAUUGUUUGUUUGUUCAUUUGUUUGUUUGUUUUGAAACAAGGUCUCACUCCAUCACCCAGGCUGGAGUGCAGUGGCAUGAUCAUGGCUUACUGUAGCCUCAACCUCCCCAGGCUCAGCUUCCUGAGUAGCUGGGACUACAGGCACGCGCCACCACAUCUGGCUAAUUUUUCUAUCUUUUGUAGAGACAGGAUUUCACCAUAUUGCCCAGGCUGGUCUUAUCUUAAACUCCUGGGCUCAAGCAAUCCACCUGCCUCAGCCUCCCAAAGUGCUGGGAUUACAGGUGUAAGCCACUGUACCUGGCAGGGCUCUUAUUAUUUUUCCAAUUAUUAUUCGUCUUUGCACAAUACCCCACACAGAUCAUCUGGAAAGAAUGACUGGGAAACCAGGCUUUAAGCGUUCACCAGACCCCUUCCUUACUUUCAGACCCUGACUCAUGGAGAAAGGACCAAGGCUGGAAUCUUUGUCCCUGGUCUGGUUCACCAGCACUCUGAGGUCCUUUGCAGCACUCACCCUUUCCAAUCAUUUCCAUGCUCCUUUGUGCUCAUGUGUGCAUUCAUUUAUUCAUUCAUUCAUUCAUUCAGCAAACGUAUCAUAUUCUAGUCUGAGCCCAUCCUAGGGUCUGGGACUACAAAGAAAAUCAUGGCCUGGGCCUUUCUUCAAAGGCCUCACUCACUCAUUCAUUCAUCAAACAUUUACUAGGGGCCUCCUCUGGGCCCACACCUACAUAUUCUGUUUCUAUCCUCUCUUGCCUUUGGACAUGAAAUAAUUAUUCAGGGAGUCAUUUCCCAGAGAUUAUUUCAUUUCCAAUCUUCUUCUCAUGCUUUCCGCCCUGUGUACCCACUCUGCGCACACACCAAAUCACACAGAGAAACCAAAACAGAGAUCCAGAAAGAAUAUUCUCCCACAUCUCCUGUGGCUGAAGACUUUCCACUAGUUCCCAGAGUCUGGAAGGAAGAGCAACAGCAACUGAGUCCUCUGGAAUUUUUUUCCAUUCAUUCAUUCAUUCAUUUAUUCACUCAACAAACAGUUUACUGAGCACUGUAUCUGUGCCAGGCCCUGUGCUAGGAAGUGUGGGGGUAACAGAAAUGAAUAAUCACAGAGUGCACCCUCGAGGAGUCUCCAUUCAGUGGGCCAGUGGCUCAUUCUUUCCACAAAUAUUCACUGAGCUUCUCUAAAGCAUCAGUUAAGCUUUGGGAAUGUGAACAAGAAAGAUGAAGGCCCUGCACUCAAGGAGCUUGCUAUCUAUGAGGCGAUGUCUCGUGCUGUCUGUGAGACAGACAAUGGGCAAGUAAGCAAACCAGUAGACCACUGUUUUUCCAAGCAAGGCUCCGAAGAAAAUAAAACAGGGUGAUAGGACAGUGACUGAGGUUAGACAACACAAGUGAAUUAAAUUUGAGCAGGGCACUUACUUGCCUUCUCUGGGCUUCAGUUUCCUCAAGGAGAACAAUCAUAUCCAUCUCCACCAUGGGAAGCAAACGAGUUAGUAUAUGUAAAGCCUGGAACAUAGUGAGCACUAUGUAAGUGUCAUCAAUUAUUUAUUUUUCCCAGGGAAGGGGAGGGUGGAAUGGAGGAGUCUCACUCUGUCACCCAGGCUGGAGUGCAGUGGCAUGAUCGUGGCUCACUGCAGGCUUGACUGCCUGGGCUCAAGCAAUCCUCCCACCUCAGCCUUCUGAGUAGCUGGGACUACAGGUGUGCACCACCACACCUGGCUAAUUUGUUUACUUUUUGUAGAGAUAGGGGUUUCAUUAUGUUGCCCAGGCUGGUCUCAAACUCCUGGACUCAAGCAAUCCUCCCGCCUUGGCCUCCCAAAGUGCAUCAUUUGUUAUUUUUAGGUAGAUGCAUAAGCAGAUCAUCAAAACAUUAGGUGGUUAGUGCAGAAUAAGGCAAUGUAGAUCCAGGGCAUCCUGGGAGCACUGGAGAGGAGCCCCAACGUGCCAGGUACAGCCCAGCCAGGGAAGAGAGUCAGGACACUGGGCAUAGAUGCCCUCCCUGCGUCACCUAACCCUGCAUCCCUGGAACCCACUGGCCACCCCCAAGGAUGUUGCCUUUCUGAAGUGCUGGAGCAAGUGGAGAGGGGCAGAAGAAAUGCAUGUGCCCCACCUCCCUGCGGACAAGAGGGGAGAGAGGGUACACAGGUGGCCACAGGCAGGCAGAAUAGGGCCUGCUUUCAUGGGCCACCUCCUCCCAGGACCCUGGCUCUCCAAAGUGCCUGCCACCCUGUCUGGUGAUAGAAAUGCUGGGGAGUUGGGAGGAGGGCGGGUGCCCUAACACUCAAUCCACAUGGAGCAGAAUGAAGGGGCAACUCCCCUUUCAUGGAGUUCUUUCCUAGACCCUAGAGUUCAAGAGUUCAGGACUCCUGUUCACAGGAGCACACUAUCUUUCCACCACUCUCAGCAGGGAGUAUCACUGCCCCCACCUCUUAGAUGAGUACAUGGAGGCUGAGAAGGGACACUGAUCUUUCUCAGUCACUCAGUUCAGAAGUGGCAGCGGAAAGUCAGCAUCUGGGCUGGCUGCAAAGUGGCCACUCUUCUUCUCCUUCCCCGUUCUGCUUCUCCCAAUUUGGGGUGCCCAGGAAAGCCUAUUAUGUAGGGAGGGCAGGGCUGUGAGACUCAGGGGAGGUGGGGGAGUGAGAGGCAGAUAUUGCUGUGUAAAAUGACCUGGAUCUGUGGUGAGGGCUCCAGGAUUGGUGGAGAGAGCAGGGUACAGAACUGGGUUGGGGGGUUACAGCCAGGAAGAGAUGGAACCACAGGGAGGAAGCCCCGCCUGCCCCCCAUCCUCAUCACAAUAGGCAUCGUGGCAAACAGAAGGAGGAAGGGGCAAGGCCCCAACCCCUCCUCCACAGUAUCACCUGGCCAGGCAGCCCCAUUCCCAGCCCUGCGCCCACAGGGACCAGGAUGUGGGCAACUAGGGAUAGACAAGCCCUGACGUAGACAACUCUGCGACCCCCAUGCCUGGCCUCCUUAGCCACCAGCCAAAUACUCUUUGUGGUUUGGGCACCGGCCAAGCGCCCACACCCCAGCUCACGGGACCACAGCUUCCCUGUUGCAUCAGGUUACUGAGCGCGUGCACACGCCCCAGAGCCUGUUACACAACUGUGGUGCGCGUGCGCAGCACCCACACACCCUGGGUGGCUCCACAGUCCCACAGAAGAAACCGCAGCCUUGCCUGGAGUGCACAGGGCCCGCUCCAGACUCUUGGCAUUGAGAGCUGGAGAUGGGGGUUAGGGGGAGGAGGGUGCCUGGUCUGGGGCCAGGAUCUGUGAGCUCCACCACUGGCUCAUUGUGAAACACCAGUAAGUCAUGGCCCCUCUCUGAGCCUGUUUCCCCACCUAGAAAGGAAGCUCACCUUCCACCCUGAUGAUCUACAUACCCAAUUGCCCUCUGCGCCCCUCAACACCCUCCAAACCACCACCACCAUCUCCCUUCCUGUAGGAAUGUCAGCAAGAGAGGGAAGCAAGAAUCUGCACAGAGAGGAGACGGAGGGGUGGAUAAGAUGACCUCUAAAAGGGCCCUUUCCUCUUGGGGCUUCUCCCCAGUAGAAGUGGGUGUGCCUUGAGGGGAGCUCCAUCAUCACCCUUUCUCCAGGAAGACCGAGGACAGUGGCCAGAGCUCUUUUGAGAAGAGACUAAGGAGCAGGAGGCAGGGGAUGGGUAACUUUCUUCUGGAGGCAGGGGAUGGGUAACUUUCUUCUUUGUAGUUUUUUCCCCCACUUUUCUACAACAGACAUGUGUCACACACUACUUGCAAUGGGUGGAGGAGGGAGUGUGUUGGGAGGGCAAAUGCUCUUGGGGAAGGUUAAUGUAUCAAGCACACCCCCUUUCCCACCCUUAAGCCAGCAUUUCCCUAACUAUGUUGUGGCAAACGGGCUCAAAUAAGCACAGGAAACCUGAGUUAAACACAGUCUAACAGGUUUUCUUGACUGCAGGACUUCUCUGAGCCUCUAACAUGCUAAUCUGGGCUACAACCCUCAGAGACGAGGGACGAGACAAGGAAACGCAUUUAAUCUCAGAGCUCUUUAUAGGGGAGCAUCUCAAGAUGCACUUACUAGGCACUGCUGGAACUCAGAGUCCGGUGGCACGCCAGGCCCACACCCCAUUGGUGAAGAGCCUCCAUGGAGGAGAGACAGCCUAGGCCCCGGAGGACACCAAGGGCAGAUGCCCUAGGCAGCUACCUCCCACUGCGUGAGUCCAAUCCCAAUCCUUCUCCCCAGAACUGGUCCAAGACCUGUAUCCCAGUUACGAAGGCAGGUAGUAAUGUGGGAGGGCCCAUGGGUGGCCCUGCCGCUUCCCUGAAGUUACUUAGAUCUGCAGUGACCCCUGCUGGCUCUAGCCAAAAUCACCCCUCCCCUUACUCCUCACCUUCCUCCUUGCCAAUCCCUGGCCCUCCAGCCUCUUCCUCAUUAGCCUUGACGCAGCCCCAUCAGGACCCACCGUGACCACACCCAAACACCAGAUCCUUUAUGCUUUCCUUCAUGCCUGGGGUUGGAAUCUGGCCAGGCUUUGACUGAGCAACAUGUUAGUGAGUUCUGAGGCCUGUGCUGGGGAGGCCCUGAUGGCAUGAGGAAGAGGGCUCCGAGGACAGCCUGACCCCUUAUCAAGGGCACAGUCACCCGCAUGGAAGUUCAAGACCACUAUCAUAACAGCAAACAUUCAUUGGCUUUUUCAGGAACAGAGCUGAAUCCUUUAUGUCGAGUAUUCCAUUUAAUUCUCAUAAGAAUUCUACAGGCACUGUUCCUGCAUUGAUCCAGUUUUCCAAUGAGAAACUGAGGCUCAGAAGUUUAAAAAUUACCAAAUGGCAAAACUCAGAUUCAAAUCUGGAUUUCUGGAUUUGAGCCCACCCGUUCCUUCCCCGUGCUAUUUUGCUCUUCUUGCUUCUGCCCACCCCUCAAUCCACCUACAGUGUUCAAGUGUAGUUUUUUCUGCCCAGUGCCCGUGGUUUUGGGGAAGAUGACUCAAGUGGACUUGCCUCAUGUCCUCCAAGCAUGGCCUUGUGAGCAGACCUAGCCAGUCAUUAUACCCUUCCCCCUAGUCAACGGGAACACAGAUUGGGUUUUCAUCCCCCGGAACCCAUUCUUUCUUCUGAUAAAUAGCCUCUUGAUUUCCUCUGGGCAGUCCCUACACUCUCAGUAAAAGUGGCUUGGAUGGAAAUGACUCCAUCUCCCUGUCUCCGUGGGAAGAUUCAGACCACUCAAGCACAGAAAAAAAAAAAAAAAAAAAAAAAAGUCCUAUCCAUAGUGAUUGGUUCAGGAAGGACAUAUGACCAAACCAGGCCCAUCAGAGUCAAUCCUGGAAUUUUACUGGAGCCACUGGGAAGAAGAAUGGCUUUCUGCUCUCUCCGAAGUUACUAAAUGGGUACGUAUAUUCCAAGAGUUUCCAGGAGUACUGCCUAAGGAGAACAUGCGCGAGAAGGAAGCCCACACAGAGGAGAGCAGAGACCAAGCCCUGCAGACAUUGUCCGGGCUGUGCCAAAGACAGACUCACCCCUGGACUCUUCAGUGAUAUAAGCCAAUAAAUUACUUUUUUGUUGUUGUUUUUGUCUUAAGCAAGUAUGAGUUGGGUUCCUGUCCUUUGAAACAAAGAUCUAUCGAAGCCUCCCCCCAUUAUUCCUCAUUGUUAACAGCUGUGUUUCCUUCUUGCCUUUUUCUCCCAUGCUUACACAGACAUACUGGACACUUUCUAAAUAAAAAUUGACGCCACUGGCUACUCCUUUCUUCAAGAUAUACUCUUUCGCUUAUUUUUGUAAAGCCUAGCUCCCGGUUUUCGGCUCUCUUCCUGCCCCUCUGAAGUCCUGUCCAUCUUAUUUUCCUUCACUGGCUCCUCUCUGUUUGCGAGUAACAGAAACCACCUCUGGCACUUAUAAGAAAAAAUAAAAAACAAAAGAAUUAACUGGAAAAAUAUUAAGGAGCUAGGUCAGAGAAUCGACUGGGAGUCUGGAGUACCUAACUUGGAAACCAGACAGAAGUGACUUGGCUGAACUCCAAAGGCCCCUUCCAUCCUAGUGUCAGGAUGCUCAAGAUGCCCAGACCCAAGAGUCUGACCAGCUGAGUUUAGGUCAGAUGGCCGCCCCUCGGCUGCUCCAUGGAGGUGAAAGGGAGGGCCUGGUGCAAUGAGUCUCCAGGGAUCCUUCCAACUCUAGAGUAGGAAAGCAGAUCAUUUGUUUUUUCACCCCACAAGAUGGAGAAGAGACAAUGCCCCAAAAGGAAAACUCAAAAUGAGGGUGAACAUGUUCCCAGCAUUCUCAAGGUUGUGCCCUAGGCUUUUUCUCUUCUCUCCACUGCUCCCUGGGCCUUCUCAUUCCUCUCUUUGAUGGCUGCAGCUGCCACCAAUAUGCCUACAAUGCCCAGGAUAGACCUCUACCCCAGACCUGUCUCUUGAGUCCAGACCCAUAUAUCCAUGAGCCUCUCUACACAGAUGGCUCACAGCCCCUUCAACUCAAUGCGUUCAAACUUAACUCUUCCUGGUCAGCAAACCUGCUCCUUCUUUGAGGUCCCUUAGCUUAGCAAAUGCAACCACCAGACACUCCACUGAUCACAGCAGAACCUGGGAUCCUUGAGUCAUUCUUAAUGUCCCUCACCCUAGCAGUCUCAACUCUAGUACUCCCAUCUUCACCUGAAUAGUUCCUUGUGGCAUAAAUGUCUAGCCAUCUCCCUUUCUUCUUUAGUGAUAGGCCCAUGGCUGCCCAAAAUAAAGACAAAUUCCCUGGCAUCCUUUGCAGCUAGGAGAAUCAUGUGACUGAGCUCUGGCC
rnacentral:lncRNA from 1 species